rnacentral:rRNA from 1 species
AUACGGAUGGUCCGAUCGUUAUCCGGAAUCAUUGGGUUUAAAGGGUCCGUAGGCGGGAAUCUAAGUCAGUGGUGAAAUCUUGCAGCUCAACUGUAAAAUUGCCAUUGAUACUGGAUUUCUUGAAUUAGUGUGAAGUGGUUAGAAUGUGUAGUGUAGCGGUGAAAUGCAUAGAUAUUACACAGAAUACCAAUUGCGAAGGCAGAUCACUAACACUAUAUUGACGCUAAGGGACGAAAGCGUGGGGAGCGAACAGGAUUAGAAACCCGGGUAGUCC